rnacentral:ncRNA from 1 species
GACCAUAUUUUUUCUUCACCUCUCUAUGGUCGCGGCUG